rnacentral:rRNA from 1 species
UACGAAGGGGGCUAGCGUUGUUCGGAAUUACUGGGCGUAAAGCGCGCGCAGGCGGUCUUCAAGUCAGUGGUGAAAGCCUGGAGCUCAACUCCAGAACUGCCAUUGAAACUGUUAGACUUGAGUACGAGAGAGGUGAGUGGAAUUCCCAGUGUAGAGGUGAAAUUCGUAGAUAUUGGGAAGAACACCAGUGGCGAAGGCGGCUCACUGGCUCGUAACUGACGCUCAGGCGCGACAGCGUGGGGAUCAAACAGG